CGGGGUAGAGUAACGCGUGAGGAACCUGCCUCAAAGAGGGGGACAACAGUUGGAAACGACUGCUAAUACCGCAUAAGCCCACGGCUCGGCAUCGAGCAGAGGGAAAGGAGUGAUCCGCUUUGAGAUGGCCUCGCGUCCGAUUAGCUAGUUGGUGAGGUAACGGCCCACCAAGGCAACGAUCGGUAGCCGGACUGAGAGGUUGAACGGCCACAUUGGGACUGAGACACGGCCCAG
rnacentral:rRNA from 1 species